rnacentral:rRNA from 1 species
GAACGCCGGCGGUGUGCCUAAUACAUGCAAGUCGUACGCACUGGCCCAAUUGAUCGAUGGUGCUUGCACCUGAUUGACGAUGGAUCACCAGUGAGUGGCGGACGGGUGAGUAACACGUAGGUAACCUGCCCCGGAGCGGGGGAUAACAUUUGGAAACAGAUGCUAAUACCGCAUAACAACAAAAGCCACAUGGCUUUUGUUUGAAAGAUGGCUUUGGCUAUCACUCUGGGAUGGACCUGCGGUGCAUUAGCUAGUUGGUAAGGUAACGGCUUACCAAGGCGAUGAUGCAUAGCCGAGUUGAGAGACUGAUCGGCCACAAUGGAACUGAGACACGGUCCAUACUCCUACGGGAGGCAGCAGUAGGGAAUCUUCCACAAUGGGCGCAAGCCUGAUGGAGCAACACCGCGUGAGUGAAGAAGGGUUUCGGCUCGUAAAGCUCUGUUGUUGGAGAAGAACGUGCGUGAGAGUAACUGUUCACGCAGUGACGGUAUCCAACCAGAAAGUCACGGCUAACUACGUGCCAGCAGCCGCGGUAAUACGUAGGUGGCAAGCGUUAUCCGGAUUUAUUGGGCGUAAAGCGAGCGCAGGCGGUUGCUUAGGUCUGAUGUGAAAGCCUUCGGCUUAACCGAAGAAGUGCAUCGGAAACCGGGCGACUUGAGUGCAGAAGAGGACAGUGGAACUCCAUGUGUAGCGGUGGAAUGCGUAGAUAUAUGGAAGAACACCAGUGGCGAAGGCGGCUGUCUGGUCUGCAACUGACGCUGAGGCUCGAAAGCAUGGGUAGCGAACAGGAUUAGAUACCCUGGUAGUCCAUGCCGUAAACGAUGAGUGCUAGGUGUUGGAGGGUUUCCGCCCUUCAGUGCCGGAGCUAACGCAUUAAGCACUCCGCCUGGGGAGUACGACCGCAAGGUUGAAACUCAAAGGAAUUGACGGGGGCCCGCACAAGCGGUGGAGCAUGUGGUUUAAUUCGAAGCUACGCGAAGAACCUUACCAGGUCUUGACAUCUUGCGCUAACCUUAGAGAUAAGGCGUUCCCUUCGGGGACGCAAUGACAGGUGGUGCAUGGUCGUCGUCAGCUCGUGUCGUGAGAUGUUGGGUUAAGUCCCGCAACGAGCGCAACCCUUGUUACUAGUUGCCAGCAUUAAGUUGGGCACUCUAGUGAGACUGCCGGUGACAAACCGGAGGAAGGUGGGGACGACGUCAGAUCAUCAUGCCCCUUAUGACCUGGGCUACACACGUGCUACAAUGGACGGUACAACGAGUCGCAAGCUCGCGAGAGUAAGCUAAUCUCUUAAAGCCAUUCUCAGUUCGGACUGUAGGCUGCAACUCGCCUACACGAAGUCGGAAUCGCUAGUAAUCGCGGAUCAGCAUGCCGCGGUGAAUACGUUCCCGGGCCUUGUACACACCGCCCGUCACACCA